ACAUUAAACAUCUGAAUGGAGCCUACAAGCACUGGACAGAUUCGGCCUGAAUGGGACAAAUAGAGGAAAAAAGCAGCAUCCCUCACUGGAGUUCUAUGAAAAAUGUCAGUGCAUACCAGACUAUUAAGACAGUCCUGAAACAGCUGGCAGCAAAAAUGACAAAGGUACU